rnacentral:lncRNA from 1 species
GUUCUAUUCAAAGAGUUUUAUUGUGGUACGAUUAAAACAUUCUGUAGGUAAUGCAUACCUCCCUAUUUGAUUGGACUUACGUAGAAACUUAAAAAGGGAUCUGAAUUUAAUACAAAACUGUUACAAAGGGGAGAUAAAUCAUUGAUUAGAAUUAUAACUGACUGUCAUUUUAAGAAAAGAUCAUCGAUGAAUUUCACAUGCCAAAAAAGAAUUAUCAAUUCCAAUCUUCUCAAUUGCUGUUCUUGUUCCAGGUGUUAUAUUGAUUGAAAUAAAAAAAGAUUCCUGUUGAAAAGAUAAGUGACCAAUUUUUUUCCAGGAUUAACUCCAAAAUAUUUAUAAAUGAAAAUAUUUCCUUCAAUCUUUUCUUUGAACUGUGUCUGUAUCAUUAAAGGACUUGUUUAAAUAAAACAAAACAGUGAACUUUCUGUAUUUUAAUUUCAAUUUCCACAGGCAUUUGUUAUGGUUUUGAGGUGAUGGAUUCUGUAGAGUCUCCAGCCUGGCCUUUUACCUUCCUGAAAACCAGAUUUAAAGGUAAUGAAAAAUUUAUUUAUUUAUUUCUAUCCUUAUAAAAUACUCCUUUCUCCAUUUCAAAAAUCUAAAUAUUGAUAUGACUUUUCUCAUUCCGCCUUUCUCACCUUCUUAUUUACUAAAUGCUGUUAAUACUAAAAUUGAGAAUGGAAAGGGGAAAUGUUUUCCAUUGGAGUACAACUAAUGACCAGGAAACCACCAAAGACCACCAAUGGGUCUUCAUUCGAAUUUUUGAUUAGAGCAUUAUUAAGUUUUGAAUCCUUAUGUCUCUGAAAUUUCUGCCUACAGAUUACUUAUGGCAAGGGUAUCAGAAGUCACAAAUACCUCACAGUUCCAAUUAUCUUAUUGAAAGCUUUUAUCUUUCUUUUUCAGUUCCACCAACAGCAAUAAUUUAUGUCAAUGCUUGCAAUCUUCAACAGUCUUAACAGAGACCCUGGAUUUUUCAAUUUCCUCUGGAACCAUACAGAUGGACACGUUUUUUACCGGAUAUUCAUAUGUUAAACUAAUGGGUAGGGUUUUUUAUCAACUUUCUGUCGUAUCGCUG